UUUGGAUUUUUUUUAUUAAAAAAACACACAUAAAAAUAAACAUAAAAAAACCCAAAGUCAUUCGAGGAUGACGAAGAAUCUAUCUAGCAAACCCUCCCGGUGGUCCGUGAGGUAGUCGUUCACAAAGACAGCAACGAGACUCUCUCUCCGAGUAUAAGAAAGAUCUAUCAAAUAUUGAGUGCCAUAGAAGGUGUUGGAGUCGACGUGAAUGACGGAUUUGUCGAGGGCAUAAGCUGUAGUGACAAUAAUGGAUUGGGGGAGGUAGUGGGAUGGAUGGAUGGAUGGGUGGGUGAGGCAACGACGAUGAGGUAAGGAAGAAGCAAUGACACUAAUGUGGAAUGUGGGGCGGCGGUAUGCAAAAAGAAAAAGUGGAAAUUUCUUUAGGUUUUGAUUUUUUUUGGGUUUAUUUUUUUUUAAAAUAGAAUAUCAAGUCAUCCAGGCCACAUAAAUGAGAUCUUAGUCAUCCCAGUAAUCAA